rnacentral:lncRNA from 10 species
GUGCAUUUUCUGAGUGUGAAGAGGAUUUGGGUAGGCAAGACUAGAGAACAGCAGGAAGUCAUUGCCUAUUAAAUUUUUAUUUCCAGCCAUUCACUGAUGUAUUGGUAAGAGGACAGGAGUCCUGGGGAAAGACUGCCUCAUUUACACUCCAAAGACUUGGGUUCUGAUCUCCAUGUCGUGGCUUAUCAUAGUGUAAGCCAGUUAUGUACCUCUAGAAAUGGAAGUUUCUGCUGUUUAUAAACUGGAAAUAAUGAUACAUGUCCUGACUCCUAUUGGGUUGUUGCAAAGGAAUCAAUUGAAAUAAGACAAGACUUUCUGAAGGCACUUUGCCAACUUUCAGAACUGUAAAGAUUAAGGGACUGCUACUAUGUGCUGCUCAGGAAAUAACAGGCACCUGGGAAAACCCACGAAGUAAGGUUUUGUAAGAAGUUGCUCUGCUCCCUGGGAGAAAACGCGGAGCUCAACACUGCCAAGAGGAACAAGUCUGGGAAAUUACGACAUGAGGGCCCUUGUGAAUUGAUGAAUAUGAAGACACUAAGAAAGCAGAAAUAGAACUGAGAAGAAUGAAAUAACUGUCUCUACCUUUCUCGAAUUGUCUAAUAUGGAAAGAAUGAAAGACAGCUAAUAAGCAACUCUCUGCAAGAAGACAUAUGGCUUAGGUUCUGCUGAGCUAUUGGUGAUUUGAUUCCAUGCAUAUGUAUUCACUACUGAAUCUACUUGGAGAGAGUCAAACACAGAAUCCCUUUGAAUUUAAUGGCCAUUCCAGGUGAUUUGAACAGCCAAAUAAGAAACAGGUCCUCUUCAAUGUACAAUCUGCCAAGUAUGAAGUCUGAAUGACCAUCAUUAUUAUGUAUUUAAUGUGCAUAGAAAAUCUAUCUGCAACCUUCCAGAGUGUACCAGAAGUUUGGAAUGUACAUUAUUAUUGGCUCCAUCUCAAACCACUCAUAAAUCAAAGAAAAUAGCAGUUCCAGAGGAAUCAUCAUAGAGGCUUCUAGGCCCCCAUGCUGUGUGAACCUGGUGAGAAAGGGAAGUCUGCUCUCACUGGACACUGGAACUGUUUGUCUCUGUCUCUGCUGUACUUUCCCUGCCUCUACCUCACUUAGUAAAGAAAUCAUCUUUGCUUGAUAACUAAAACAACCAAUAAGGCUGAGAAAGGGGAAAACCCACAUCUGGAUUUAAAUACAAGGUAUUGGGCCAGCUGCUGGGGAUUAAACUUUGAACAAAACAGAUAGAAUCUAUGUCCUCAUGGGAGUGGCUAAUGGGAGAGUCGGAACAAAAAAAUAGCCAAGGAUAAUCCAGCAAAUGAUUUGGUGAAUGCUAUCAAAGAGAGAAAUACACAUGCUCUGGGAACACCAAGAAUAAACGAGAGAAAGGGACAUUAAUAUAUAUUGAAUAUCUGCUGUGUCAGGCACCUUACAUAUAUUGAUUGCUUCUUCACUUCUUUUAAUCUUUACUACACCACAUGAGGCUGUCAUAGAGAUUCUGAGG